rnacentral:SRP_RNA from 1 species
GCUGGGCGUGGUGGCGUGUGCCUGUAGUCCCAGCUACUCGGGAGGCUGAGGCAGAAGAAUCGCUUGAACCCAGGAGGAGGAGGUUGCAGUGAGUCGAGAUCAUGCCACUGCAUUCCAGCCUGGGUGACAGAGCUAGACUCUGCCUCAA